rnacentral:rRNA from 1 species
AGCCAAUAGAUACCCGGGUAGUCCACGCCCUAAACGAUGUCUACUAGUUGUUGGUGGAGUAAAAUCCAUGAGUAAACGCAGCUAAACGCGUGAAGUAGACCGCCUGGGGAGUACGGUCGCAAGAUUAGAACUCAAAGGAAUUGACGGGGCCGCACAAGCGGUGGAUUAUGUGGAUUAAUUCGAUGCAACGCGAAAACCUUACCUGGCCUUGACAUGCCACUAACGAAGCAGAGAUGCAUUAGGUGCCCGUAAGGGAAAAGUGGACACAGGUGCUGCAUGGCUGUCGUCAGCUCGUGUCGUGAGAUGUUGGGUUAAGUCCCGCAACGAGCGCAACCCUUGCCAUUAAUUGCCAUCAUUUAGUU